UCGCUGCAAGCACUACGGACAGGGGCGAUAGCUCUUUGACAUCAGAAUCGGUAUAGUAGCAAGCUUUUCACUUUGAAAAAAAUUUCAGCAUGUUUACUUGGAAUUUUCUCAGCCCAACCAAGGACUGCCAACUUCAAGCGCACCAGUCAUUCCGUAUUUCUCAGCAAGAGGACCUAGCAGAUUCAGUCCAAGCAUUCUCAAAGUAAGAAGCUGCAAGCUCUCCAAAGCACAAAGUUAACUCAGACCUUUGUUCUUUGCUUUUUUUCUUGUUCCAUGCUCGAAGCCGGAUGUUGCUGCUCCGGGAGUUCACAUCCUUGCAGCUUGGCCUGACAACAUAGCCACCGAGAAUGGAGAACUUAACCAACAGUUUGGAUUUCUUACCGGAACAUCCAUGGCCUGUCCUCAUGCCACGGGAGUCAUCGCUUACGUGA
rnacentral:lncRNA from 1 species